AUGGAGGAGCAGGGGGAAGGAGAGAGGGAGGUACUGAGAGGAGGGCGGCGAAGAUUUUUUGCUAGUCCCGCCACCAGCAGGGUUUCGCCGGUGAUGUCGCAACCGUUCGUCGGCGCCGUUCGCGCGGGAGCAGGGUUGGGGAUUCUUGGGGGGCAGAGAUCAAUGAGUGGAUGCCAUGAACCCAACUACGACCCUGAUGACGGUUCGCGAAACACUGAGAGUUGCGAUGAGAGCAUUGCAUCUAGUGAUGAAGAAUCUGUUUCGACGAGGAAGAAGUUAUUAGAAGAUGCUUUAUUUGGUUUUUUAGAAAGGAGACCUAUGGCAAUCAAAUCACUCAAGAUUUUUCAAAAUUCUGCAAGAAUGUCGACCUCGAAACUGAGAUUUGUCCGCUGGAUUGUCGAAUGUGUAGACAUAAUGUCAUCUCAAAUCAUUGUUGCUAAUAAGAAGAUCAUUUCUAUCUCAAAGGAUUCAGUUCAUUGUGUGCUGGGCCUGCCAAACUGUGGUGAUUUAUCGACACAAGACAAGGAUAGUGUGAGGAACUUCAUUUUGCCUCGGUUCAGCUUGACGAAGAUGCCAAACAAUACUUUCUUUGGAGACAUGCUCAUAUCUUCUGAUUUCCUCAGUGAGGAAGACACUUUCAUAUGCUUCAUGGUGAUCGCAAUGUCGUGCUUCCUUUUUCCAUCUUCCAGGGAUCAGAUUCACACGGAGUUUUUGACCUUGCUUGUUGAUUCAAAGCACACAAGUGGUUUUGAUUUCUAUGCGCUUGUGUAUGAUUGUAUACUUAUUGGCAUCAUCAAGUAUGUGAUUUCUGGCAGAGUAACGGGCAGGAUACCAAAGGUGUUUGACUUUUGCUCGUACUGA
rnacentral:rRNA from 1 species